UACGUAGGGUGCAAGCGUUAAUCGGAAUUACUGGGCGUAAAGCGUGCGCAGGCGGUUCUGUAAGUCUGUCGUGAAAUCCCCGGGCUUAACCUGGGAAUUGCGAUGGAGACUGCAAGGCUAGAAUCUGGCAGAGGGGGGUAGAAUUCCACGUGUAGCAGUGAAAUGCGUAGAGAUGUGGAGGAAUACCGAUGGCGAAGGCAGCCCCCUGGGCCAAUACUGACGCUCAUGCACGAAAGCGUGGGGAGCAAACAGG
rnacentral:rRNA from 1 species